AGGAGCCAAAUCUGGGGAAGACCUGCCCUCCAGUAAACUAAACCCCUCGAGGAAGCAGGGCUAAGCCUGACUUCUAAGACCGCCCUCUCAGUCCGAGAAUCUGCCCUCACCCAUCGGCAACAGUGGAAACCAUAGUAUUUGCACUUUGUA